GACGAACGCUGGCGGCGUGCCUAACACAUGCAAGUCGAACGGAAAGGCCUCUUUCGGGGGGUACUCGAGUGGCGAACGGGUGAGUAACACGUGAGUAACCUGCCCUUGACUUUGGGAUAACUUCAGGAAACUGGGGCUAAUACCGGAUAGGAGCUCCUGCUGCAUGGUGGGGGUUGGAAAGUUUCGGCGGUUGGGGAUGGACUCGCGGCUUAUCAGCUUGUUGGUGGGGUAGUGGCUUACCAAGGCUUUGACGGGUAGCCGGCCUGGGAGGGUGACCGGCCACAUUGGGACUGAGAUACGGCCCAGACUCCUACGGGAGGCAGCAGUGGGGAAUAUUGCACAAUGGGUGGAAGCCUGAUGCAGCAACGCCGUGUGCGGGAUGACGGCCUUCGGGUUGUAAACCGCUUUCGCUCAUGACGAAGCUUUGUGUGACGGUAGUGGGUAAAGAAGCACCGGCUAACUACGUG
rnacentral:rRNA from 1 species